rnacentral:tRNA from 1 species
GCUCUGUGGCACAAUGGAUAGUGCACUGGAAUUCUUGCUGGGGUGUGGUUAUUCAAAGGUUGUGGUUUCGAGUCCCACCAGAGUCG